rnacentral:lncRNA from 1 species
GAGAAUGUCAGCUGUAGGAGCCAAGGGGACUGGCAAGGAGCUGUGCAACCACGCAGGAAAAGCAUCUGGAUCCUCCCUUGAGCUACCCAACUUUAUAUUAAAGACAGGUCCUUGCUCUGUUGCCCAGGCUGCUGUGCAGUGGCAUGACCAUAGUUCACUGCAACCUCAAACUCCUGAGCUUCAGCGAUCCUCCCACCUCAGCCUCCCAAGUAGUCCCAUAGUCCCAGCCCCUGAGCUGGGACUACAGGUAUGUGCCACCAUGCCUGGCUAAUUUUUUAUAGAGACGGGGUUUCACUAUAUUGCGCAGACUUGUCUUGAACUCCUGGGCUCAAGCAACCCUCCUGCUUCAGCCUCCGAAAGCACUGGGAUUACAGGCAGGAGGCACCUGACCUCCAAGGGUUACAGGGUUACAUCUCUUUUUUUUUUUUUUUUUUUUGAGAUGGAGUUUCAUUCUUGUCCCCGAGGCUAGAAUGCAGUGGUGUGAUCUCAGCUCACUGCAAACUCCGCCUCCUGGGUUUCAGCAAUUCUCUUGCUUCACCCUCUGGAGUAGCUGGCACAGGUGCGUGCCACCACUCCUGGCUAAUUUUUGUAUGUUUAGUAGAGACGGGGUCUCACUAUGUUGGCCAGGCUGGUCUCAAACUCCUGACCUCAGGUGAUCUGCCCACCUCAGCCUCCGAAAGUGCUGGGAUUACAGGGGUAAGCCACCGUGCCAGGCCCUCCAAGGGUUACAUCUUAUGUAAAGUAUCAAAGCCAGGAAACUGACGUGGGUAUAAUGUGUGUGCCUAAUUCUGUGUUGUUUUAUCACAUGCAAAUUUGUGUAACUACUACCUCUUCAAGUAAAAUGCAGAACUGCUCCCCCACCAAACAGAUCUCUCUGGUGAGACCUCUGUGUAGCCAUACCCACUCUCUCCCCAUCAACAACUAAUGUGUCUCCAUCGCUAUCAUUUUGAGGAGGCUGAGUUUUAAAUCAACUUCCGACCCUCUCAGCAGUGUGACCUUGGAUAAGUCAUUUGUCCUUUUCUGGAUGUUGAUCUUCUCAGCUAAAGUAAGACAAGGUUGGCUCACAUCAACAUUCCUCUUGAAUUUCCACAGGCUGAUAUGAUCUGAAAAUGCUACGGAGAUUAUGAGAAAGAAAAUGGGGUUUUAUGGUGAAAUAAACUAGGGAAAUGAUGCUUUCCAUAAAUACAUAAUGCUUCUUUACCGUGAAUUCUCAGCCCUUUAAUACACUAAGGUGAACUGUGAAUCUUCUAGUGUGGGAGGUAUACGCAGCAUUUUCCAAAUUUAUCUGAACACAGAAUGCUCCCCCCACCCUUAAAAAAAUCCUCUAGAAAAAAAAUCACUUGGAACUAGUUUUUCAGGGAAUAUGCUUAGAGAUAUGCUUUUUCAGGUGACCUCUGAGGUCCUCCUGCCUCAGGGAUCCCACCCAGAUUAAAUGCCUAGAAAUAUAUCCUCCCUCGUGGGUUAAAUUAUGUAUCUUCAGCCAAAACCUACGAGUGUGACCUUAUUUGAAAUAAGGGUCUUUUCAAGUGUAAUUAAGAUAAGGAUCUUGAGAUGAGAUCAUUCUAGUUUAGGGUGAAGUCCAAAUCCAACGAAGAGUGUUCUUAUCAGAGACAGAAAAGGGGGACACGCAUAGACACAGAAGAAAAUGAUAGGCUAGGCAUGAUGGCUUGCACCUGUAAUCCCAGUGCUUCGGGAGGCUGAGGCAGGAGGAUUGCUCAAGCCCAGGAGUUCCAGGCUGCAGUGAGCUAUAAUCACCCCACUGUACUCCAGCCUGGGUGACAGAGCGAGACCCUGUCUCUGAAAAAAGAAAGAAGGAAGGAAGGAAAGAAAAAGAAACAAAGAGAAAGAAAGACAAAGAA